GCGGAAAAAGAGAGCGCGAGCGAGAUUGCCCACGCAUGCGCAAUCUCCCCCGCCCCGGUUGGGGUGCACGACGCUCGGCGGGGAGGUGUCGCGUGAGCUUCCUGCUGUCGUCACUGUGGGCUGUUGCGGUGCGUUACGAAAACGACUCUUGUCCUGUUCAGAGACAGACGCCAACACGUCAUGGGGCGGGGGGCGGACUCAGCUCCCCCAAGCUGCACCUCGGGAUGUCGCCGCUCGCCCCGCUCAGGGCACUCUCGAGCCGUCCCUGGCCACCGGGAGCGGGCACGGAUCAGCUCUGCCUCGCGAACGAGGCCGGGCGGCAGGACGCUAGUUUGGACACCGCAGCGCGGGAGCGCCACAAGCCCAGCCGGGCCCCCAGCGACCUUUGCUGGGCAGUGCCUGGCUCCAGGGGCCUUGCCCCGCCUCUGCUGCGCUAAGGGGCUGAGCCCUGCGUGCACUGGGAGAGCUGCCAACGGUGGGCCCUGCCAACGGCUUUUGUCAAAUGCUUAUUGCGAGGUUCAGCAAUGAAUGAGGAAGUGCUGGGGUCGGCUGUCUACACUGCUGCGCAUCUGGCAUUGGCCACUGUUGGAAGACAGGAUGUUGACCUAGAUGGACCAUUGGUCUGACCCAGUAUAGCUAUUCUUAGAUUCAGCAAGAAUUUAUUCCAUCAGAUUGUGAACUACUUUAUAGUUGCUUGUCCUCUUAAGCGCAGUUCAUGUAAAGACUUACAUGCAAAAUUACUUUACAUAUCUCCAUAGUCCCACUGAAGUCACUGAACUACUCACAUGUUUAAAGACUUGCUUGUAUGCUCAACUUCAAGUAUGUAAGUAGUCUAAAUCACUUAUAUGGGACUAUUCGCAUAGUGAAAUCCUGGCUCUACUGAAGUCAGCAGUACUUUGCCAUUGACUUCAGCAGAGCCAGGAUUUCACACAUAAUAUAUAAAGCUAUGUGUAGUCUUUGCAAGAUCAGAGCUUAAGUUUGUACUGUGCGAACAUAAGAGGUCCGUGAUCCUGAUCAGACUUUUGGUAGUAUCACAACAUAUAUUAAAUAAUUAAUUAACUGUCCUAUGGUCUAAAUGUGUAGUACCACAACAAAUAUUAAAUAAUUAAUUAACUGUCCUAUGGUCUAAAUGUGUUUCCAUUGCACACAAGAUGAUAUUUACUAAAUCGGAGUUUAACCAUAAAUGUAAAUUUCAAUAUGCCGUGCAGCUUUAAAGAAAAAAUAUUUAUGGGUUUUAAAUGAUGAAAUUGCAGUCAGACAUUUAAAAUUUAGUAUAAGGUGCCUUCCAAAAGCAUUUAUUUAUAUAGCUGAAACUUCUUAUAUAAACUACUGUGAUUAUCUUCCCCUCCUUGUUUUCAAAAGCCAUUUGCAAGAUAUGCAAAAUAGAAAUUCAGUGUAUCCUUACCACUUUUAUUAACAUGUGCCUAUGCCUCACCUUUAAAAAAAAUACAUUUGUAGAAUGUUUGUGGGAAUUGUACAAUACUGUAAUUUUAAAACAGAAAAAAAUGUUCAAAUAUUUCAUUUACCCUUUAUGCCAGAACCUUGCCGCUAGAUGGCAUAUAUUCAUUAUUUUACUCAUGGAUAAAACAAGGCUAAAACAACAAUUAGGAGAAUGUGGGAACACAAGUGAACGAUGGGAUUUCCCAAUAAAGUGAAUUCUACAUUUAAUUUACCCUUUACAUAAGGUUUUUCCAUUCAUAUAUGUCCAUAUUUCCUCCCAGAUUUGAAUAAUGAACAUACAGGAAUCAUAAACUGUAGUAAAAGUUAACCUUCACCACCAAUGCAGUUUUAUAACUUCAGGUCUUGGAGAAUAUGAAGCAAGGUAAAAGCUCUAUUUGCUUAACAUCAAAUUUUAUUCAUAUAUGAACACAUCUAUUAAUUUCAGUGGGAGUCACAUGAGCUCAUUUUAAGAACACGGUUCUUAAUAUCCAGUAUAUAUAUUAGAUAUCUAUACACAGAGUUUGAAGACAAAAUUUACAAUUUAAAAACAAAAAUUUAGUAGGCAAAAAAUGCCUUCUUCCUUGUAUAGGUCCAAUUAAUAAUUGAACAGGGUAACUAUAGUAAGGUUUCAAAAUCAAAGUCUUCCUUUUAUAGACCAAACAUAGCAAGUAUGCAGGGGGAUGUCACAGACUUGAGAGGAUUAAGAAGUCAUACAUUGUGAAUACUUCCAUUAUUCAUGUCUUCAUUAAUUUCUCUUACACCUCACCCCUUCCAACAUUUGACUUUGUAUUCUUGCUAUUAAAAUAGAUGUCCAAAGAGGUGUAAAAUUUUCAUAGGAUAUAUUCCAGGGAUGGCCAAACUUACUGACACUCUGAGCCGCAUACAACAAUCUUCAGAAAGUGGAGAGCCAGGGCGCACCUGCUGGGGCUCGGGGCUUUUGCUCUAUGGGAGGCAUCUGCCAGGCCUUGGGGCUUCAGCCCCGCUCCUGCUAAGCCCUGAGCCCCAGUAGGUGCACCCCAUGGGGCUGAAGCCCUAAGACCCCCCUUCCCCACUAGACAGAAGCCCCUACCCCAUCACCCUGCUGAAAAGCAGAGGUCCCGAGCCCCCCCCCCCCCCCAGCCCCAUCUGGUAGGUGGAGAAGGGAGGGCCCGGAGGGGCUCCAUGAGCCACACUUUAAUUGUAAAAGAGCCGCAUGCAGCUCGUAAACCAUGGUUUGGCCAUCCCAGAUAUAUUCUGGCAUAGUGAUGUAGGAAUAAUCUGGCAAUGGCUAGAGAGAGUGCUUCUGGGACUAUAAAUCUUACAGCUUCCAUGAGCUAUAAGUUUACUUAAAGAAACAAAAACUUAAUUAAUUUGUUCUAAAGAUAAAAUUAAAUGAAGACAUCUGUAUGGAUAGGACCAAAUUUAGAUUUAAAUUAUAUUGCUAUAAAUCAGAGGUUAUUGUAGUUAUUUGCAUGUACACUGUUGUAAAUGAGUUUAGAAUCUGGCCCAUAGUGAACAAUUUGCAUAAAGUCUGACCAAUUCAGAUAAUAAAAGCAAAUCAACUGCCAUUUUAAUAUUUGAAAUUUAAAUUACAUUUCCUUUUUACAAUUUUUACAUGAAUGGAUAGUACCAAAUUAUAUUAUAUUGUCUCCAGUACAUCUUUUUGUAUAAGACCCAGUGACAAAAGUGGAUCAUGUACCAGUAUAACUAUUUCUGAACUUUUAAAAUCAUCUUUAGAAGAGUUUUUAAUAUAAGGAGUUGC